rnacentral:rRNA from 1 species
GCCUAACACAUGCAAGUCGAGCGGCAGCACAAGUAAGUUUACUUAUGAGGUGGCGAGCGGCGGACGGGUGAGUAAUGCCUAGGGAUCUGCCCAGUCGAGGGGGAUAACAGUUGGAAACGACUGCUAAUACCGCAUACGCCCUACGGGGGAAAGAGGGGGACCUUCGGGCCUCUCGCGAUUGGAUGAACCUAGGUGGGAUUAGCUAGUUGGUGAGGUAAUGGCUCACCAAGGCGACGAUCCCUAGCUGUUCUGAGAGGAUGAUCAGCCACACUGGGACUGAGACACGGCCCAGACUCCUACGGGAGGCAGCAGUGGGGAAUAUUGCACAAUGGGGGAAACCCUGAUGCAGCCAUGCCGCGUGUGUGAAGAAGGCCUUCGGGUUGUAAAGCACUUUCAGUAGGGAGGAAAGGGUGAGUCUUAAUACGGCUCAUCUGUGACGUUACCUACAGAAGAAGGACCGGCUAACUCCGUGCCAGCAGCCGCGGUAAUACGGAGGGUCCGAGCGUUAAUCGGAAUUACUGGGCGUAAAGCGUGCGCAGGCGGUUUGUUAAGCGAG